CUGUGUAGUUCUAGCUGAAUUGCGAUACUUCCGAUAGUUUUGAAGGCAGCAUUGUUAACAGUCCACUGCAGAGACCGAUCCAACAGGUGGCAGCAUUUACCUUUUAUUUUACUGCACUGCAAGGUAUUACGCUGUACUUCUGUCACAAAUAUUAAUUUCAUGAUUGUAGUUUCAAUAAAAAAUAGUAAUGUUUGUAGGAAUGUAAGACAUCAGAGAAGUGAGUUUAAUUAUAUCAAAGCCAGUUAAAAAAUUGACUCGAUUAGUAAUUACUUGGUUAUUGCUUUGCUCUAUAUGGUCCUAUAACUUAAGUGAUUAUCUAUAAAAACCUGUUUACGAUCAAACUGUAUCUCGAUCAUGCAUUUAAUAUUUCAUUUAAUUAAUGGGACUUCUUGUGUGUUGUUGACGAUAUCUGUUACUUGUAACAAACUUUAUCACAGAUUUAUUGCUUUGGAUUUAUUUAUUGUGAAAGCCUGCAUGAGGCACAGCAUCAAUAAGACAUGAAAUUUCGAUCCUAUUAUUAGGUUUAAUGACCAGUGAGUGCAUCCCCCUCACGUAUCUGAUUUACGGUGUCCACAUUGGUCUAAUGAAUCUUGGUGUUCAAUCUCUCAUUAUAUAAUGAUUAAUACACCUUGGACAGGCUUCUUUGCAUUUUAAGAGACAUCCAUGUGGGCACAUGAACUUAAUUCCUCCAUCUGUCUGCGACUCCUCUGAUAUCAUGGGAAAUAAAUGAGAUACCUUUUUGCAGAGGUCACCGAAUGUCACCCGAAUGUAUGCACUGGUUGCAUAGUGGUGCUCUGAAAUUAUUUGGGAAUGCUAUGGAUCCUGUGUGGGGGUUUUCCUCUGUGUAGGAGCAGGCUGGUAGUAUAAAGCUUUACUUUCCACAGUCUUUCUGGUUCGAUGGAUUAUCAAGGUUUUUUUCAGGUUUUUAAUGAGAUGUUCCGAUUGAGAGGCUCCGAAAACUGAUAACUAAAAAUAACUGCUGCGGCCAUGUCCUUCAUAGCUGACUGCCUGGCAUCUCAGCCAUCCUCUCUCUCACUUUCUAUUUCUUCCGUCUGUCUUGUCCUCUUUCAUUUUAACAUAUGCUCUUUUUUUAAACAAAAGGGAAAUUAAAUGAAAUUUCAUCAAGACACUAAAAUAUAUCAGUUAUAUAUCAAAUGAAGAGGAUCGCUCUGGGAGUAUUACUCAAGGGCACUUCGGCAGGUCUGAUUGUGCCCAGAAAAUUUCAGUUUCAAACUAUUUCUCCUUUAUUGGUUUUGCCUGAAGCAUUAUUUCAAAGGUCUUUAAACCAUCAAGUGUUGAAUCGAAAGUAGGGCAGAAUGAGGGUAGAAGUCACAAUAUCCCCCAUUGCUGACACAUUUUUACAGAUUCCAUUGAAAUGCCAUCUGUCAUUCCGCCACCUCAAGCAGGCACUCUGAAUGUCACCGCCGUGCCUUUGAGGUGACCCAGCUUUCUGCCAUCCGUCAUAGCCAACUACAGUUUGCUUGUCCACGCAGAGAUUGACGAGUCCAGAGGUAAAUAAACCAUUACUUGAAACGCUUCAUUGCAGUGUGACACCUCGCUCAGACGCAGAACCUCAAAGGAGCUGUUGUUGUUGCUCAUCCAGCCUUCCAUCCUCUGAGAAAACCUUUUUUCGUUUGGCAUGCAUCGACAUGGUCAUCAGAGUUUGUCAGAUUAACAGCCUCAUAUAUCUCUAUAUCCAUUUGCCAUCUGACGGCUCUCUGUCAGGACGUCCAAAGUGGUGUUGAUUGUGCUAAUGAUAAUGUGUCAGCAAUGUGCGGCGUGUUAGGCGCAGAGCGGAGCUUCCCGGCCAGAAGACAAGGAGACGCUACCGGCCGAUGUUGCGUUGUGCAGAAGAGGGGUGUGGCAGAGCCCCACUGACGAUUUGUGCCCGACACUUCCUGCCAAAGGGGUGGAGAACUUGCCCUUCUUUUAUUUUUUGCCUUCAAUGGUUGAAGAUGAUUUAGACAUUAAUAAUCAAGGCUGCAUUCUUUCCCCUCGGCUCUUCUCCCUGCACAAAAUCCAUAUCUUUUACUUUUAAAUUGUCUAUUCUAGAAUCUGUUAUUGUAAAUUUGUAAAUUAAACAUUUACUUGCACUA